rnacentral:rRNA from 1 species
GACGAAGGGGGCUAGCGUUGUUCGGAAUUACUGGGCGUAAAGGGCGCGUAGGCGGCCCGCUAAGUCGAACGUGAAAUCCCCGAGCUCAACUCGGGAACUGCGUCCGAUACUGGCGGGCUUGAAUCCGGGAGAGGGAUGCGGAAUUCCAGGUGUAGCGGUGAAAUGCGUAGAUAUCUGGAGGAACACCGGUGGCGAAGGCGGCAUCCUGGACCGGCAUUGACGCUGAGGCGCGAAAGCUAGGGGAGCAAACGGG